rnacentral:misc_RNA from 1 species
AAGUAACAGAUGGUCAAAAUAGCCAUGUUUCUUUGGGGCACCAUGUUAAUGAGGAAGAGAGAGGAUCUUUUACACACACCAACCAAGAUGAUUUUCCUGAAGGUACUAAUAUGAUAGAGCCAUGUACUAAUGAUAAGGAUAUAAUACCAGAUGGGGUCUCUAGUAUAGUGAUUGAUGAGCCUGAUCCAGAUGACCAGGAAUUGCAGAGGAUACAAGAUCCUGUUGCCAUCAUUUGCAGUCGACUGCAGAAAGCAAUAGGUGCAUUGAGAUCUCAAGCUACUCCCUUCGAGGUCUCUAGGGUAGUGCAAACUAUAUUGAAAAUCAUAAGGAAUGCAAUUGAACAUCAAAAUGAAGUGAAAUUCAGAAAGCUGCGGAAGGCUAAUCCUCUAAUCCAAAGGGAUGUGGUGAAUUAUUCAGCUGCAAUGGAGAUCCUGUCUGUGAUUGGAUUCAAUGAAGACGCUAUUAUCGACGAAACUGGUAGAACAGAAGCUUAUUUAGUCCUCAAAAGGAAUGAUCCAGGAUUAUUGUGGCUUGCCAAGUCUUCCCUUGAAGCCUCCAUUGCCUAGAGGACUUUGUACUAUAUGUAAAAUUGAUGCAUUUGUUUGUGAAAAGUCUAAUAAAGGAUGAAGACAGUUCUUUAUGUGGUAUUUGAACAUUUUCCUGUGUUGUAAAUCACAUUUUGAAAUUGACCAUUUCCUUGUACAUAUACAUACAUCCUUAUAAGAAACUGAAACAAUUGUACUUCUAUUUAUAUAAUUGUCUAGUUUA